rnacentral:rRNA from 1 species
CCCAAUCCCAUCCUCGUCUCGCCUCAGCCGCCCCUGCACAAACCCUAGCCCCUUUUCUCCUCGACCCCCAUAGCCGCCGCAACCCUCCCGCUCCGUCUCCCCUCCCUUCCCACCUCCCCUGUCAGCGGCCGCCGCCACUCCACCUCCUUCUCUGUCACCGGCGGCCAGCUCAUCCCACUGCCUCGUGCUCGCCGCUGACCAUGGAUCCACCAUGGACGGAGGGUGUCAAGAGGGGAAGGAAGUCUUCGGCUUCGCAGGCAGCGCUGGCGGACGAGCACACUCGCAUGUCCUCUUCCUGGGCGAGCCAACUCAGAUGUGGAAGGCACCUCGAGCAUGGGAGGAGUGACCACGGCUAGGCAUCACGGGUUGGCCGAGGUGAGGAACAGGCAUCCAGAAUUCCAGAUUGUUAUAUAGGGGUGGGUGUUCUCGGCCAGCGUUGGGCGUUCUCGCUGACUCUCUGUCUAACCUAUCCAUAGGUUGUAUGAUCUCAUCCGUUGCGGCAUCUCCGUUCUGCUCGUUGCUUCAUCGCUGUUGCUAUUUUUGAGAUAUCUAAGCUGAUGUCUCAAAUAGUUCAGAACAACCAGUCGGAACUGCAGGAGCCAUCUUCACCUUAAUCUGAAAAUAGAAGGUUUUCCUUUUGCUAGACCUCUGAAAAAUCUGCAGUGGAGUAACCGCUCACAUUACCUAUUGCUCUGGUUUUUUAAGGUAAUUGCAGCUGGCAAAGCUUGCACUAAUGUUUUGAGUUCAAUCGUUCGCUGUGUGGAUGCUACAUAAUUCUAAUAGUUCUGUGGAACACUUGUUCUGGUCUGGUCAUCUGGUAAUUUUCUUUUUUGCAGCUUAACUGUUGUAGGGUAGACAGACUAUACAUACUGAAGAAAUGUCCCCGUCCGACAGUCCUUCAUGCUCAGUUGUAGUGAUAGCGUUGGGUACUAUGUGCACCCUUUCAUGUAAUUGUGUUACCCUGACAAAAUUUAUAACUAUGAUCUCUCAUAUCUUAUUCUGAGUUUAAGGAAAUAACUGGAGUAAUGUUAAUGAUCCAGUGUUGAGAAUAAAAAAAGGUGGAAGCACAUUGAGUGGCUUUAGUUUUGUUACCUGACGUAUAAUGUACCUUUAGUUUUUGAGUGAAGAUCCUUAUGUACACAUAAGUUGUAUCUAAAACUUUCAGCUAUAUAAGUAAAACAAAGAAUUUCAAAACUUACACCUCUUUUUUUCCAUGAGCUGUUGAAGCUUGAUUGAUAGUUUUCCAACUCUGAUGAAGUGGUUAGGAUGAUCAGGUUUUGCACAUUCUGGAGAUUUUUAUACCUUCUGUAAAAUGCACAAUUAUGGAUUCAGAUAAACUGGGAGUGGUGCAUGCCAUUGUAUUGUGUUCCUGAACCUUGCUUUCUCCAUGUCAGGUCUUCUGUUCUAAGAAAAAACUCUUUUGUUGCAUCCACAUUAACCAUAUAUAUUUCUAUUUCCAUUUUCGAAUUGUAAUCUGUAGCUCAGUUUGGUGUGUCAAUUUCAGCUAGACUAAAUCAACCAUUCGGUCCUUAGUAAGUCGACUUUUCGUGUGUGUGUGUGUGUGUGUAGGAGGUUUAGCAGGCCUGACUUAAGAUCGAACCCUGAUGGUGUUUAGGCAUGCUCCGGUUGGAGAGCUUAUUUCCAGCGUUGGAGGUCUUUUCAGUUUUUCUAAAGACUUGUCCAAGUUAAACCACGAGAAUGUCAUGGGCUUGCUUGGCUACCGCGGAGAAGGGCAUUCUUUCAACGGCACUGUCGAUUGCUAGCAAACUGUCUAUUGUGUCGUUGAUUGAUAUCCAGACUUACUGUUUUUCGUUCAGUUUAAGGGCUCUCUAGGCUUAAGAUCUUUCUAGGAUAAUUGUGUCAUUGAAUCUAAAGGUACAUGAUCGUUUUCUCAGCUCAUGCAUCGAUAUGCAUUUGUUUCUUGGCUGACUUGUCCUACAUUUGUGAGGUUGUUGAGGAAGUUCAUUUCUUGCAGGAGGCGCAAAACUUGAGUUGCCUACAUAUGAGUUUGCCAGUUCACCGAAACUUAGAAUAAAGAGGGGAACUUUCUCCGUUUUGUUGUUUUUGCUCUUCUCAGAUUUUAGGCUGGGUGUAUUAACAUAUAUGCCACACACUAAAUUUAGAUCUCAGUGCAAGUUUAAAUAGGGAUGAAUCAUUGUGCCAUGUUGAAAAAAUAGAACUACAGAGAAGAAAGGAAAUUAUUAAAGAAGGGAUAUAGUUGAUUAGGUUGUUGUGGUGUUUCUUUGUAAAUAACAACAUUCUAACUUGCUGGUUUAAUCUAGGUAUGUGGGAUAUAGGAGAUACAAGGAGAUAUAUUUCAGUUGCAAUCGAGCUUUAUUUCAAAGUGAAACAUGGUAGACAUGCAUAGCAUGCUGGUGUUUUACUCUAUGCUUCUGGGCCGCCAUGGUGUCAAUUUUGAACUUGCAAAACAAACUGUAAAAUAUUUUAAUGCCUUGGGGCAUGAAGUUCUCUUUACCUCCUCUGAUUGCUUCAUCUCUGUUUAUGUAGCAGGUUCUACGUUCUCCUGUGUUGCUGCAUCUUGGUCUUCUGUUGCUUGAGGCCGUGGCACCGAUAUUCUCUCUGAUAGUACCCAAGUUCCAAUUCAAGGGAGCCAACAAGCGCGGCAUCCCUGUGUCCCGCGACCCCGCCGCGCUGCUAGCGAAGUACUCUGACCCGCUGGUCUACACGGUGCCGAUCAGGGUCCGUACAGGCCAUGAGAUCCUGCGCAUCUCCUCCUACCUGCUGCACAACCUGAAGAAGGUGACGGUCCCGUUCGUGGUCCUGCACGGCACCGCGGGCCGUGUGACGGACCCGCUGGCUUCACAGGAGCUCUACACGGAGGCCGCGUCGAGGCACAAGGACCUGCGUCUGUACGAGGGGUUCCUGCACGACCUGCUCUUCGAGCCCGAGCGCGACGAGAUCGCGGCCGACAUCAUCGGGUGGAUGGACCGGACGCUCGGCCUGCAAGCCGUAUGAAGGGCAGCUGUUGUCUGAAGAUGGGGGAGGAGCUCAACAUAAUGUGCGGAUCGCUCCGGUCAGAGCCAUGGGAUUGCAGCCAUGGGCUUCAUGGCAUGGCAUGGCAAGACAUGCAUGAUGGCUUUGGUCUGGUUCUGAUUGUAUUGUUUGCGGUGAUCCUCGUCUUACGAUGCUGCCGGUGCAGACCAGUGGACUGAAAAGCCAGUGGUUUGUGGUUUGUAUUAAUGCUACACUAUCUAUAAUAACAAAAGGGGUGAAAAGAAUGACGCGUACUGCUGGCCUGCAAAACCUUUCUCGAUCCUGUAAAGGUUGGUUGCUCCAAUUAUUGGCACUAGGUAUUCCAACCUGAAAAACCAAGCAGCUGCACGUAUCCUGGCGGUUAGCUGUCUCGUGGCCAGCAUGUGCCAACUGCCGAGUGGUUGGGAGGGACCGUUUUGUUGGCAGUUUUGAGAGUCAACAAAUGCGAGCGUAGAUUAUUGAUUGGACAUGUCCAUGGACAUUGUCAUAAUGGUCACCUUAUCGCAGUGUAUUAUUUUUGGAUCUCAUAUUCCUCAAGGUGCUCCAUCUUCUGAUUCGAUGUCGGCCGAUCUGAGAAAUAAGAGGAGGAAUAAUCCAGCAGAAGAAUUCGGUGAAGAAGAACAAGAAAAGAAUACCUUUAUCCUGAUAGGCAUGGAAACACUGGUUCGCAUUGAGUGCAUCAUCGCUAAUCAGCUACUAUAGAGCAAUGGAUAUAGAAGAAAUAUAUAAACAGUUGUCCCUAGAAGAAAUAUGCAACAACUUAUUCAGUAGAGAGCAAGGGACAUAUAAGAAAUCUCCAGGCAACUUCACUUAGAUGCAUCAUCUUCUGCUAGGAGUCAGCUUGAAGAAUGACCUUCUCAGAUUAAUUCUUGGGAGACUGCAACUGACAUGUUGGAUGGGGAAUAACCAAAUUUGUGGACAAAGACAAAGAGUUCAUCGCAAGGGGUGGUGUUUAGGAUAUAUACACAAAACAGGAAACUUUUUUUGUACAGAACCAAAUUAUAUGAUGUAAUUGACCACUAUUUCUAAGAAAUGUUCAUCAUGUAUUAAGUACAUUUUAUUGUGUCACUUUUUUUUGAAGUGUAGCUUUAUUCAUCAAACAUCACAAAGUGUGCGAUAGAGUUCAUCAAACCAGG